GGGGCAGCAUGUCCAGCAAUGGAUGAUGGCGACCGGCGUAAGGGUGCGUAACGCGUGAGCAACAUGCCCUAUACAGGAGGAUACUCCGGGGAAACCCGGUCUAAUACUCCAUAGUAUUAUUGAGAGGCAUCUCUUAAUAAUUAAAGCUUCGGUGGUAUAGGAUUGGCUCGCGUGACAUUAGCCAGAUGGUGAGGUAACGGCUCACCAUAGCAACGAUGUCUAGGGGUUUUGAGAGGAAGGCCCCCCACACUGGGACUGAGACACGGCCCAGACUCCUACGGGAGGCAGCAGUGAGGAAUAUUGGACAAUGGAUGGAAAUCUGAUCCAGUCAUGCCGCGUGCAGGAAGACUGCCUUAUGGGUUGUAAACUGCUUUUAUACGGGAGCAAUAAGGGUUACGUGUAGCCUGAUGAGAGUACUGUAUGAAUAAGGAUCGGCUAAUUCCGUGCCAGCAGCCGCGGUAAUACGGAGGAUCCGAGCGUUAUCCGGAAUUAUUGGGUUUAAAGGGUGCGUAGGCGGCUAUUUAAGUCAGCGGUGAAAUUUUGCAGCUUAACUGUAACAGUGCCGUU
rnacentral:rRNA from 1 species